AUCGCUUCUCGGCCUUUUGGCUAAGAUCAAGUGUAGUAUCUGUUCUUAUCAGUUUAAUAUCUGAUACGCCCUCUAUUCGAAGACAAUAUAUUAAAUGGAUUUUUGGAGCUGGGAGUCAGAAGAGGAGCUUGCUCGGCCCACUCCACGCAUCGACCUGGUAUUGCAGUACCUCUGGGAACAGUGCACCCCUC